UACGGAGGGGGCUAGCGUUGUUCGGAAUUACUGGGCGUAAAGCGCACGUAGGCGGCUUUGUAAGUUAGAAGUGAAAGCCCCGGGCUUAACCUGGGAAUUGCUUUUAAGACUGUCGGGCUAGAAUCCAGAAGAGGGUAGUGGAAUUCCGAGUGUAGAGGUGAAAUUCGUAGAUAUUCGGAAGAACACCAGUGGCGAAGGCGGCUCACUGGCCCGAUACUGACGCUGAGGCACGAAAGCGUGGGGAGCAAACAGG
rnacentral:rRNA from 1 species